GCUACGGACUUACCCCCA
rnacentral:tRNA from 1 species